GUUGAAGAAGCUCUAAAAGCUCAUGGUAUUGUUAAAACUGUGAGUGGUAUAGGAGACCAAGCGAAAGCACCUAUAAAGCUUCCUGAUUAUGUUCAAACUGAGCCAGAGAAGUUUCAAGGACAAACCUUGGAAGAACAGCUUAAUACGUGUAAAGAUUCAGAACCUGCACUUGGACUUGAAUAUAUAAUUGAAUACCGAUCAAAAGAGAAUCUCCUUGUUCUCUACGAGUGUCAGCUGUGCCACU
rnacentral:lncRNA from 1 species